AUCUCAUGAUGUAGACAUGCAAGGAUGUACUCCUGAAGACUCUCCCAAGACUCAAGAAUUAACUCAUUAGAUGCCUGCUGGAAACUCGAAAUCCUUCCAUGAAGAG